rnacentral:tRNA from 1 species
CGACCCGACCUCCUGGGCAGGGAAACCCUCAGCUGAUCCGUAUCGUCCAGGGCGAGCACGGCGUGGUGCAGAUG